rnacentral:rRNA from 1 species
GCGCACCAGUCGCGAAUACUUUACAAUGUGCGAAAGCACGAUAAGGGAACUCUGAGUGCCUCCUAAGGAGGCUGUUCAGGUGUCUAAAAGCACCUGAAGGAAGGGCUGGGUAAGACCGGUGCCAGCCGCCGCGGUAACACCGGCAGCCCAAGUGGUAGCCACGUUUAUUGGGUCUAAAGCGUCCGUAGCCGGCUGGGUAAGUUCCUUGGGAAAUUUGGCUGCUUAACAGUCAAGCUUUCAGGGAAUACUGCCCGGCUUGGGACCGGGAGAGGUCAGAGGUACUCCAGGGGUAGGGGUGAAAUCCAUUAAUCCUUGGGGGACCACCGGUAGCGAAGGCGUCUGACCAGACCGGGUCCGACGGUGAGGGACGAAGGCUAGGGGCGCGAACCGGAUUAGAUA